GGGUUGUGAGGUUAAGCGACCAAGCGUACACGGUGGAUGCCCUGGCAGUCAGAGGCGAUGAAGGACGUGCUAAUCUGCGAAAAGCGCCGGUAAGGUGAUAUGAACCGUUAUAACCGGCGAUGUCCGAAUGGGGAAACCCAGUGUGACUCGUCACACUAUCAUUAACUGAAUCCAUAGGUUAAUGAGGCGAACCGGGGGAACUGAAACAUCUAAGUACCCCGAGGAAAAGAAAUCAACCGAGAUUCCCCCAGUAGCGGCGAGCGAACGGGGAGGAGCCCAGAGCCUGAAUCAGCAUGUGUGUUAGUGGAAGCGUCUGGAAAGGCGCGCGAUACAGGGUGAGAGCCCCGUACACAAAAGCGCAUAUGCUGUGAGCUCGAUGAGUAGGGCGGGACACGUGGUAUCCUGUCUGAAUAUGGGGGGACCAUCCUCCAAGGCUAAAUACUCCUGACUGACCGAUAGUGAACCAGUACCGUGAGGGAAAGGCGAAAAGAACCCCGGCGAGGGGAGUGAAACAGAACCUGAAACCGUGUACGUACAAGCAGUGGGAGCCUCUCUUUAUGGGGGGUGACUGCGUACCUUUUGUAUAAUGGGUCAGCGACUUAUAUUCUGUAGCAAGGUUAACCGCAUAGGGGAGCCGAAGGGAAACCGAGUCUUAAUUGGGCGUUAAGUUGCAGGGUAUAGACCCGAAACCCGGUGAUCUAGCCAUGGGCAGGUUGAAGGUUGGGUAACACUAACUGGAGGACCGAACCGACUAAUGUUGAAAAAUUAGCGGAUGACCUGUGGCUGGGGGUGAAAGGCCAAUCAAACCGGGAGAUAGCUGGUUCUCCCCGAAAGCUAUUUAGGUAGCGCCUCGUGAAUUCAUCUCCGGGGGUAGAGCACUGUUUCGGCUAGGGGGCCAUCCCGGCUUACCAACCCGAUGCAAACUGCGAAUACCGGAGAAUGUUAUCACGGGAGACACACGGCGGGUGCUAACGUCCGUCGUGAAGAGGGAAACAACCCAGACCGCCAGCUAAGGUCCCAAAGUCAUGGUUAAGUGGGAAACGAUGUGGGAAGGCCCAGACAGCCAGGAUGUUGGCUUAGAAGCAGCCAUCAUUUAAAGAAAGCGUAAUAGCUCACUGGUCGAGUCGGCCUGCGCGGAAGAUGUAACGGGGCUAAACCAUGCACCGAAGCUGCGGCAGCGACACUUUAGUGUUGUUGGGUAGGGGAGCGUUCUGUAAGCCGUUGAAGGUGUCCUGUGAGGGGUGCUGGAGGUAUCAGAAGUGCGAAUGCUGACAUAAGUAACGAUAAAGCGGGUGAAAAGCCCGCUCGCCGGAAGACCAAGGGUUCCUGUCCAACGUUAAUCGGGGCAGGGUGAGUCGACCCCUAAGGCGAGGCCGAAAGGCGUAGUCGAUGGGAAACGGGUUAAUAUUCCCGUACUUGGUGUUACUGCGAAGGGGGGACGGAGAAGGCUAUGUUGGCCGGGCGACGGUAGUCCCGGUUUAAGCGUGUAGGCUGGUUUUCCAGGCAAAUCCGGAAAAUCAAGGCUGAGGCGUGAUGACGAGGCACCACGGUGCUGAAGCAACAAAUGCCCUGCUUCCAGGAAAAGCCUCUAAGCAUCAGGUAACAUCAAAUCGUACCCCAAACCGACACAGGUGGUCAGGUAGAGAAUACCAAGGCGCUUGAGAGAACUCGGGUGAAGGAACUAGGCAAAAUGGUGCCGUAACUUCGGGAGAAGGCACGCUGACACGUAGGUGAAGUGAUUUACUCACGGAGCUGAAGUCAGUCGAAGAUACCAGCUGGCUGCAACUGUUUAUUAAAAACACAGCACUGUGCAAACACGAAAGUGGACGUAUACGGUGUGACGCCUGCCCGGUGCCGGAAGGUUAAUUGAUGGGGUCAGCGCAAGCGAAGCUCCUGAUCGAAGCCCCGGUAAACGGCGGCCGUAACUAUAACGGUCCUAAGGUAGCGAAAUUCCUUGUCGGGUAAGUUCCGACCUGCACGAAUGGCGUAAUGAUGGCCAGGCUGUCUCCACCCGAGACUCAGUGAAAUUGAACUCGCUGUGAAGAUGCAGUGUACCCGCGGCAAGACGGAAAGACCCCGUGAACCUUUACUAUAGCUUGACACUGAACAUUGAGCCUUGAUGUGUAGGAUAGGUGGGAGGCUUUGAAGCGUGGACGCCAGUCUGCGUGGAGCCGACCUUGAAAUACCACCCUUUAAUGUUUGAUGUUCUAACGUGGACCCGUAAUCCGGGUUGCGGACAGUGUCUGGUGGGUAGUUUGACUGGGGCGGUCUCCUCCUAAAGAGUAACGGAGGAGCACGAAGGUUGGCUAAUCCUGGUCGGACAUCAGGAGGUUAGUGCAAUGGCAUAAGCCAGCUUGACUGCGAGCGUGACGGCGCGAGCAGGUGCGAAAGCAGGUCAUAGUGAUCCGGUGGUUCUGAAUGGAAGGGCCAUCGCUCAACGGAUAAAAGGUACUCCGGGGAUAACAGGCUGAUACCGCCCAAGAGUUCAUAUCGACGGCGGUGUUUGGCACCUCGAUGUCGGCUCAUCACAUCCUGGGGCUGAAGUAGGUCCCAAGGGUAUGGCUGUUCGCCAUUUAAAGUGGUACGCGAGCUGGGUUUAGAACGUCGUGAGACAGUUCGGUCCCUAUCUGCCGUGGGCGCUGGAAGACUGAGGGGGGCUGCUCCUAGUACGAGAGGACCGGAGUGGACGCAUCACUGGUGUUCGGGUUGUCAUGCCAAUGGCACUGCCCGGUAGCUAAAUGCGGAAAAGAUAAGUGCUGAAAGCAUCUAAGCACGAAACUUGCCCCGAGAUGAGUCUUCCCUGAGACUUUGAGUCUCCUGAAGGAACGUUAAAGACGAUGACGUUGAUAGGCCGGGUGUGUAAGCGCAGCGAUGCGUUGAGCUAACCGGUACUAAUGAACCGUGAGGCUUAACCUUACAACGCCGAAGCUGUU
rnacentral:rRNA from 2 species